rnacentral:misc_RNA from 1 species
GAUGAAGAAGGCAGCGAAAUGCGAUAAGUUAUGUGAAUUGCAGAAUUCAGUGAAUCAUCGAAUCUUUGAACGCAUCUUGCGCUCCUUGGUAUUCUGAGGAGCAUGCCUGUUUGAUUGUCAUUAAAUUCUCAACUACACUGACUUUGAAUUGGUGUGGCUUGGAUUUGGGGGGAAAAUUGUUGUGGGCUUUUUGUAUAGUCUGCUCCCCUGAAAUUGAUUAGCGGUACCUUUGUGGAACUGUCUACAGGUGUGAUAAUUAUCUACAUCUUAGACAUCUGCUGGAAUGCUGCUUUCUAAACCUUACUUGUAUUGACAAUCUUGACCUCAAAUCAGGUAGGACUACCCGCUGAACUUAAGCAUAUCAAUAAGCGGAGGA